rnacentral:rRNA from 1 species
GACGAACGCUGGCGGCGUGCCUAAUACAUGCAAGUCGAGCGGACUUUCAAGAAGCUUGCUUUUUGAAAGCUAGCGGCGGACGGGUGAGUAACACGUGGGCAACCUGCCUGUAAGACGGGGAUAACUCCGGGAAACCGGGGCUAAUACCGGAUAAUAUCUUUCUUCGCAUGAAGGAAGGUUGAAAGGCGGCGCAAGCUGCCGCUUGCAGAUGGGCCCGCGGCGCAUUAGCUAGUUGGUGAGGUAACGGCUCACCAAGGCGACGAUGCGUAGCCGACCUGAGAGGGUGAUCGGCCACACUGGGACUGAGACACGGCCCAGACCCCUACGGGAGGCAGCAGUAGGGAAUCUUCCGCAAUGGACGAAAGUCUGACGGAGCAACGCCGCGUGAGUGAUGAAGGUCUUCGGAUUGUAAAGCUCUGUUAAUCGGGACGAAAGAGUUCUGCGUGAAUAAUGCAGAAAAGUGACGGUACCGGAAUAGAAAGCCACGGCUAACUACGUGCCAGCAGCCGCCGUAA